rnacentral:lncRNA from 1 species
AGCAUGAACACCGUCACUAUGAGUGGAAUAUACAAAACCUAUUUUCAUAGUUAUAUGAUAGUAAAGCAUGUUUGCGAAAUAAGUAUUUUAAAUGUUCUGAUUUAAUGAUUCCCUCGAAAUGGAUUUUAUUCAUGUAUUGGUAUUUUAUUAAAAUGUUUGGUUAAUGAUUCUGCGUAUCGACUUUGAAUAAAGUAUGAUAGUAUUUUAAAGACAAGAAAAGUGGAUUUAAAUGUGGUAUGAUUUAAAGUAUGGUUAAAAGGUAUGUGAAUAUGAGUAUAGUGAUUGUUUUUUAAAUCAUUAGACAGUACCCUUUCCUCCAGAUACAGUGAUACAGAUGAGAUGAGAGGCCUUCGGGACCCGUCUGAACACACAUAAAGGCUUUGGGCUGUGUAUUUGGGCGAUUUUGCCUUUUGGGGGCAUAUGCAUGUGGUAUGAUGAUUACAGAGAUACAGACAGAUAUUGAGAUACAGAUGAUACAGAUGAGAUGCAGGCCUUUGGGGCCCGUCUGAGUACACACAGAGGCUUUGGGCCAUGUGCUUGAGCGCUUUUGUUCUUUGGGGACUAGAUUAUGCAUGCACAGAUUUGAUGAGAUAUGAUGAGAUAUGAGAUGGUAUUUCCCUGUCUAUCCGUGUAGCUCCGGGGCGUGACAGUACCCAGAUAGUACAUCAUUGCCCGUCUGUUGAGGUCCAGAUAUGAUGAGAUUAUUUCCCCAGGUACUUGUUUAGUGAUGAUUUUCAGUCUUGUGUAUUCUAUAUGAUAUUGUGAUAUGAUUUCCAUGAUUAUUACGUAUGAUCGUUAUAUAUGCUUUUCAUGGUUAGUAAUCUGGUUUAAAUGUUAAAUGAUUUAUUACUGGUUUCUCGC